CUUGAACGCUGGCGGCAGGCCUAACACAUGCAAGUCGAGCGGAGCGGCGGACGGGUGAGUAAUGCCUAGGAAUCUGCCUCGUCUGGGGGGAUAACGUCCGGACACGGGCGCUACUACCGCAUCCUAUCAGAUGCGCCUAGGUCGGAUUACCUAGUUGGUGGGGUACAGGCCUACCAAGGCGACGAUCCGUAACUGUUCUGAGAGUAUGAUCAGUCACACUGGAACUGAGACACGGUGCAGACUCCUACGGGAGGCAGCAGUGGGGAAUAUUGGAAAAGGGGCGAAAGCCUUAUCAAGCCAUGCCGAGUGUGUGAAGAAGGUCUUCAGAUUGUAAAGCACUUUAAGUUGGGAGGCGUUACCAGCAGAAUAAGCACCGGCUAACUUCGUGCCAGCAGCCGCGGUAAUUC
rnacentral:rRNA from 1 species